CUCGACUGCAUUCGAGACCAAUCGUUAUCUCUGUGUGAUAUCGUGAUAUUACCGGUUAAGGCAAUCGUCCACACCUGUCACGCCACUUGAUCUCGAUCCUCGUCUUUUCUGGUUAGACGUGAGGGAAGAAGACGAAAGAAAAGGACGAUGGUUGUCUUAAAGGGGACGUUUUAAAGGGGAGCGAGUUCUCGAAUUUACGUAAUCGUGUUUUAGACGAUUGUAUACACGGUGACUUGGAAAUCGUGCUGUAAUAGGAAAAGAGGUGAUUCCCCGUGUAGAAACAAAUCGAAAUCGUAGAACAACGAUCUUCAGGUAUCUCCCCCAAGGAUUCUCAUUUGAAUUAAGGGAUACAAAGGGUGUUUGUAUAAUAAUAGAUCAAAAGCAAUGGAAAUUUCUCCAGUUUCAAUCUCAAAGUUUCUUUGGGAUUACUGAGAUUAAAUCGGUCGAACACUUGGAAAGUAAUUCACAGAGAAGAUUUUACAAUUUACGUAAUCGUACUUUAGAUAAUUCUAUGCCUGUUAGAGCAACGUAUUAGAAUUUUUGUUUAGAGGUUUUGUAAAGAGUAUUCUACGCUCGUGUAUGUGUAAUAGAUCAGUAAAGGCAGGAUCAGUAAAGGUUUAGAACGGAAGAGUUUAAAAGUUUGCUUUUAUUCAGGUGGAAGACGGAUUGAAUUUAACGAAGCCCUGCGAGAUCGUUUCUGUGGAAUCUCAGAGUUUACGUAAUCGUUCCUUGGACGAUUAUCUGUUCGUUAGGUUAAUGUACUAUUGCUGCUUUUAUUUGGAGUUAGGGGAUAUAUCAACAUACGACAUAAUGGAUAGAAAGUGGUUGAAGAUUGGAAGGAAGGGUGUAUUGGGGAUGAAAUAACAGAACGUUUUACGUUUGCUUUCUCUUUCGUGAUUGAGAUUCUGUCUUUCGCUUCUUUCUUAUUAAUCGCAGUUUCUUUCAUACUUACGAAAGAAUACAGUUCCUUAUGUCGCAAUUGAAAUACUAAAAAUAAUAUUUUUAACUUAUCUAAAAAUUGUACAUUUUAUCGUACUGCUCGAACAAUACUAUUGAUUUUUCGAACAAUUUGAGUCGAUCAAAAGGCUGGUAACUGUGAGCAUCAUCGAGCCUCGAUAUUUAUAAAAGUCGCAUCACCGCGAUAUAUACAGCGAGUCAGAAGCGAUUCUAAACAGGUUUUUUUCGUUACAAGCGAUUUCUUCGUAGAUUCUACGGUAUAUUCGAAUCGUCGCUUUAUUCCAUUGUAUAUCGGGCAGAAAAGUGACUGCAGAACUCUAUACGUGCCGUAUAUAAAACACGGAGAAUCUUUACACUGGGUCUACAUUGUCAGGUCGUUUAACAAAGUGAAACGCGAUCGAUCGUCUAAUGUCUGAUAUAAAUUGUGUCUUGUUAAUCGCACAGCUUGCAAUACGACUGUAACGUACACAUAGGUUUUCCUAUGGCAUAGCCCUUUGUGCGAUUUAAAGCAUCCAUUUUCAUUAAGACGUUGUCGUGAACCAAAUAUGCCGAUGUCCUUGAUGAUUCUUAGAAAUAAUACUUUCUUAUUCUUUCCAUAUACUUUUCUUGUGAAAACUAUUUUUAUAAAUACUAUUUAAACUUUCUUUUUUUUGCAAAAACUAUUUAUAUGUAGCACACGUGUUAGUCGAAAAGUUUUGGGAUAUUUCGAAGAAAGAAAGCAACGAGAAAGAUAAAAAUGACGUACGUAGUUCAGGAUGUAAAUGACCAAGUUAGAUUUACGUUAAAUUUCGUUGUUGAUAUUAACGCUAAAAUUACAAUAAAUUCGAUAUUAAUAGCAAAUAUUAAUACACAUUUACGAGCAUAUAUAUUCCUCUUUAUUUCGAUAUAUUGCGAUGGUGAAUGCGUUAUUAAUUAAAUCUAGACGUUCAAACGAAAUUAUACAAUGUUUCUGCAAACGUGUCUUUUUUUUUUUUCCUUGAAAUUAAAUUCCAGUUUCGUGACCAUUUCGUCGAAUAAAAUAUUCGUUCUCUUAUCAAUAGACAUACAUAUGUACUACAAUACCAAAUACGUAUCGUACGGUUUGGGCAAAUAUUGUUAUUAACGAUAAGCUUACCAUGCUGUAUACUGAAAAUCGCUAUCUUUUGAAUAAUUACGAACAAUAUACAUUAUCAGAGACACUUGUCGUGCCUAAACAGCUAGAUAUUAUGUGUCUCUAACACGAAUGUGGAACGUGAGAUAGUCAGAUACGCGAUCAAAAAGUUCUGUCACACCUACAAUUAGUUGUUACACUUUUGCGAGUGAAAACGAAACGGAACGUGGGUGGGAACCAUGGGUCGGUGAUCACGCGAUUUUACCUUGCUUCUAUUCUCAGAGAGUUUAGAAUUAAUUUAACGAAUAGUCUUUACAUUAUAACUGUAAAAAAUGCUUAUACACGAGUUACAAAUAUUAUAUAUCUGUGAUUAUACAAUGGCCGAUAGAAGCACGAAUUGUGCAAAUAGUUUUAGAUUCGUUAAUAUUUCUCAGUGUCUAUAUUUAUUACUGGUUAAUUUUUCAUUGAUUUAUUAUUGUAAAUGUAUUAUUAUACAGGGCUGUUAUUCGGUACAUUUAUUGGGAAAUUUCAACGAAUUCUACUUUAUUUGAUUUUUUUAUAUUGCAAGGCAUUUACAACGCGAGAUAAAUUAGCAAAGUUGCGAUAAAAUAAGUUGAAAAUAAAAGCAACCUAAGGGAUACAAUGCGUUUACGUACAUCGUUCUCUUUGUCUAUUUGAAGUUUCAAUAUCGUAAAAGCUGCGCGAGAAUAAUAAAUAUGGGAAUUUUGAAAGAUAUUGGAAUUAACAUGAUUAAAGUAAUACUUGAUCAAAAUAAUAUUUAUUCAGAAUGGUGACGUGUUCGAAUGUAAUUACGUGGAAUUUGUAGCGAAUAAAGUGAUUAAGAGGAAGAAUAGACAAUGUCGGUGGUAACGUUCUGUAAUGAAUUCUACGCGAUCCAUCAUUCUAAUUUGCGUUAAUUUCAAUGUAAGAUAUGAAAACAUAUUGGUCUUCCUUCUCAUUAGCAUAUGAAAGCAGCCUUUUGUAUGGUACUAUACUUCCGAUAAAUGACUCAGUGUUCGCUUACCUCUUUAGGAAAACACGGAAAAAAAAAAUAAAAGAAGAAGAAUGUUUCUACUUAUUACGAUUACAAUUCUCUUUUCUGCUCUCUAUUUCUGACACGUUUUAACGUAUCCUCAGACUACCAAUAUGUAUUUUCAAGGUUCUUCACUAAGAGGAUCAAUAUGUAUCGUUAAUAUCUAUUGACAAAUUGACUAUUUUCAUCGAGAACCCUGAAAUACAACGAUUAUUGAUUAAAUGACAAAUUUAUCGAUUGUCCGAGAGCACUUUUACUUCUAUAAAUCAAAACUACUAAUUAACAGAAAUUCGCCGACCUACUCGGGCAGAAAGUUAUUCCAAGAAAAAGAUGCUUCUGAACAAUGCGAGUAAAAUGGUUCCGGGGGAAAUGGUUGGAAAAUCGUGCGCUGCGACGAACGUUUCGCGGAAAGAUGGAAAGUAAUUUGGUAAAUCGAAGGUGGCGUGUCUAAAAGUCGAUUUUUCGAUCGAAAGUUACGCGAGUGAGACGAGAAAAUUUCUCGAUGGUUCUUCGUGGUUUGCUGGCACCAGCGGCGGCGCGAUGGACACGAAAUAAAACAACGAAAAGGGGUCAAGAGAAGCAGGCAGCCGGACAAUUAGGAUUAUCACGUUAUGGACCGCAGGUGAUGAGUGUGUUGUGUUUAUGCACCACGAUACACCAGACGGGUCAGAACAACAAUCAGGCCAGCAAGAUACUUCCGAGCACACCACCGAUCUCAUCUGAGGAAGAGAGGAUAAACUCGUCGCAGGAAAUACCCACCGACGAACUGGCUCUAUUAGCUAAGCUGGAGGAAGCCAAUAGGCUUAUCGAAUCGGAUGCAAAGUCGUUGAACUCGCUCCAAAGCAAUCACAGUAGAAAAGGUUCCGACACAUCUCAGGUGUCCGUGGCGUCGGGGGGCAGCGGAGGAAACAGCGAUGCCGCACCCCGACGCCACAAUUCAGCUGAUGGUGAAGAGAAUACGUGGACCCUAUGGGGUCACAUCGUCGCUGAUUGGGAUUAUCAUUGGAAGAAGAGGAAAGAGUUCGUCAAAGAAUUAGUACGUCAAGGAAUACCUCAUCAUUUUAGAGGUAUUGUUUGGCAACUAUUAAGUGGUGCACAUGACUCUCCUGUGAAAAAGCAAUUUGCUGAGUAUAUCAAGGCUACGUCAGCAUGCGAAAGGAUAAUCAGGAGGGAUAUAGCCAGAACGUAUCCUGAGCAUGAUUUCUUUAAGGAGAAAGACGGACUUGGUCAGGAGAGUCUAUUUAACGUUAUGAAAGCGUAUAGUCUUCAUGAUCGUGAAGUGGGAUACUGUCAAGGUUCGGGAUUUAUUGUAGGAUUACUCCUUAUGCAGCAAAUGCCAGAAGAAGAAGCUUUCGCUGUACUGGUAGCGCUUAUGCAAGAGUAUCGUUUGCGAGACAUGUUCAAGCCGAGUAUGGCUGAAUUAGGGGUGUGCAUGUAUCAGCUAGAACAUUUAGUUGCUGACACUCAUCCCGAGUUACACGCUCAUUUUACGGCUCAAGGUUUUCACACGUCAAUGUACGCGUCGUCUUGGUUUCUUACGCUUUUUACCACAGCGCUCAGCCUACCGCUGGCCUGCCGCAUUUUUGACGUGUUUCUGUCCGAAGGCAUGGAAAUUAUUUUCAAAGUUGCACUGGCCAUGUUGCAUUUAGGCAAGGAAGAUUUAUUAAGCUUGGACAUGGAAGGCAUGUUGAAGUUCUUUCAGAAACAGCUACCUGGAAGAGGCGAAAAAGAUCCAGAUGGUCUCAUGAAUCUUGCCUAUGGUAUGAAAAUAAAUCCGAAAAGAAUGAAGAAACUCGAGAAAGAUUAUACUGUGCUGAAAAUGAAAGAGCAAGAGGAGAUGGUUGAACUUCGUAGGCUUAGAGCAGAAAAUAGGUUACUUAGGCAAAGAACUGAACUUCUGGAAGCUGAGUCUGCGGAGUUGGCAGAUAGAUUAGUCAGAGGUCAAGUUUCUCGAGCAGAAGAGGAGGAAACUGCUUUCGUUGUACAAAGAGAAUUAGCAGCUCUUCGACACACGCAUCUUGAAACCAGUCAUCAGCUUGAGCAAGCUCACGAAGAACUAAGAUCAUUGUCGCUUCUGCUAGAAGAAAAUGUGACAUCGAAACAAUCCUCUUUGGAUGAAAUUUUGUCAAAGCAGGAAGCAUUGUCACAAAAAGAGGAAAUGAUACAGUGUUUGCAAGAGGAAUUGGUAAGAGUUCGACUACACGAAGCAGAGAACGACGCGACGAUAAGGGAACUUAGAGCAAGAAUACAAGAAUUGGAACAGGAUAAAAAGACGUUGCGUGAAUCAACGCCGGAUAAUUCUGUUGCUCAUUUACAAGAAGAACUGAUUGCUGUGAAACUAAGAGAAGCAGAAGCUAAUCUUUCUUUAAAGGAUCUUCGGCAAAGAGUAGUGGAAUUGAGCAGUGCCUGGCAAAGGCAUCUGCAAGAACAUCGUUCCGCUCAGAAUCAACCUGCAAGCGAUUCCACGCCGAAGAAACUUUUGUUUUGGGAGAACCGAGGACAUGAAGUGCAAAAGUUCGAAGAGGAUUUAAUGACAACCAGAAUUCGAGAGAUGGAAGCUUUGACAGAAGUGAAGGAGCUUAGACUCAAGGUCAUGGAGCUUGAAACUCAAGUGCAAGUUGCCACGAAUCAACUUCGUCGACAAGACGAAGGAGGGAAAUUAAUUAAAGAGGAAUUAGAGGCUGCCUUAGCUAGGGAGAAGGAACUUACUGCCAAACUACGGGAGCAACAACAUAAAUAUUCCGAUCUGGAGUCUAAGAUGAAGGAUGAAGCUAUGAUGGCUAGGAUACGUGAUGCAGAGCAUGCGCAGCAAGUGGCAGAACUCACCCAGAAAAUAUCUCUUCUUGAAUUAAAAAACGAAGAGAUGCACGCGGAAGGUGAGCUUAGAAAUAAUUUAGAUGACAGUGAGAGAGUCAGAGAAUUGCAAGAUAAAGUUGCAGAAUUAAAAGCUGAGGUCAUGAGGCUAGAAAGCUGGAAGCAACGUUGGACAGGCAAUGGUGGGCAAAAUGUAAGAAGUUUCAGUGUUGACACUGAAAGCGAGCUGGACGAGCGGGAUCUCAGAAUUUGUUUACAGGAUCAUAUCAAUGCAACUACACAGAACUCACCAGAGGUAUAGAAUUCCAUGCAUACCAGACAUUAGGCAGCUAAUUGUCGUUCGAACACACACAGAAGUAUUCCAUAUGUCAGAGCAGAUGGGAUCUUUUACGUUUCAUGAUCAUGCUUUCGCUGUAGAGAGAAUACGACGAGUUAUAACACACAUAUAGAAUAUUAUAAAUCGAGAACACAUAGGAAUAAUAGCGAUAUUAUGUUUUUAGUUUACGUGUAAUAUCACUAUAGCUCGUGAUGUAUUAACAACAUGGUAGUAAUUAAAAUAGGUGUAAUCUGGCGGUCAUUAAUAACGCAAUAUAAAAUUAUCUGACCCGGAUCGAUCAUUCGUUGCAAUCAGACUUCGAAGUAGUAUGUAUUUGUAAAAUGUGUUCGUUUAAUACAGAAUGGUGUCUAGAGUGUCUCAAUGUCUCGUAGACAUUUUGUUUCAAUAGCAUUGCAAUUAACAUUGACAAUUUUAAUUAUUUUAUCACGAGUCUCCGCAAAACCAGAAACCACCUUCAAUUCAUUCCAUUAAUUUUUAUAAUAGAUAGUUCAUUGCAUUUCGAAGUCUGCUUACAAUCGACGAAUACUAUAGGUUAAAUAUAACUAUGUGACGCAUAAACGACACGUUUUUAUACGUAUUACGCAUUCUGUGUAUUUUUUGUAAUUUAAACCAAAUGUAAUUCCAUUUAAGGAAUUGUAUAUUGAAUAGAAUGAAAUCCGGCGACGGGGAAAUCGGAGUCUUAUACAAAAGACUAAGAGUCAAAAGGAAAAAAAGAAAAUUGAUAAAAAAAAGAAAAAAACGCGUUUUUCCUGAUGCGACGGAAUACUUAGAGUCUCAUUAACAAGUCGCAGUAGCGUAUUACUCCGGUUUGUAGAAUAUUAUAGGAAAACGAAACAAUAAAACAAAACACAUACAUAUAUGAGUAAAUAAAGUAUACCAAAUACUCUUUGGAUUCAUCAGUAUUCUUCUCGCGUACAUUCGCGUAUUUAUAAUACGCUAAAAGUAGUAAAGAAACGACACGAGGUUAAUUUCAAACGGUCCAACUAUUGAGUGGAAAACUUGCGCACACAAUUAAAAUACAGUACUGUGCAAAAAUCUUAGGUUAUUUUUCUAGUUUUUACAUUUUGCUUUUCAAAAGUGAUUGAAGGUAUGGUUGGCAUUAUUUUAAUACUAUUGUUAUACCUAGAAAGUUAAUAUCUAUCUUUAAGUAAUUAAUAUUUUUAAGUCAUUAAUAUUUUAUUCGUAAAUCAUGUUUUUAUAAUGCCAUAAAUAUUUGAUAGUAUUUGGAACAGCGAAAUUGCAAAAUUUUUAAAAAAUUUAUGAAUCAGAAAAGACAGCAUCUUGAAUAAAAUAUUGAACAAUUCCUUUCCAUAUAAUAACAUAUACAAAACCUUUUUUAUUAUAGUAACUAAAGUAACAGUAACGUAGAUAAUUUGGGAUUUUUUCACAGUAUUAUGUACACAUACACAAACAUUCACAUUAAACAAGAUUAGAAAAGAAAGAUGAUCUUGAUUAGAUAGAGAGGGAUUAUUGAAAGUGAAAGUGAAACCGAACGAGAUAAUCGGGAGUACAGUUGUAAAACUUAAAUAGCCCGGAUAGCUCGUUCCUUAUAGCGAGGACGUGAUAAUUACUUCCAACGUAAGUAGUUGCGCAAAUCAGAACGUCAAACUGCUUUUAUCUCAAAUUUUUUUUAUUCAUGGAUUUGUUUUUUUUUUUUUUUUGUUCAUUUCUUUUUUCGGUUUAUUUUCAGCUUAAUCGAACCCUUAACGAUCCAUUCUCGUUCCUGCAAUGAUUGUACGUGUUUUCAGACGGUUUAAGAAUUCAAGUAAAUAGCCUAAACGUAUUUACUUUUAAGAUAAAGGGAGCAGCUGAUCGAUAAAGAGAGCAACUUUUCUUAUCGUUCCAUAAUGAUACACAAUACAUAAUUUUCAGCCAUUUCGGUUUCGUUUUAUCGCUUUGUCUCUUUUUCCUUUUUUCUUCUCUUUUUUUUACUCUUUUCAUUCGACAAGUGCAAUCUUUAUUUACGUUCAUUAACGUAUCUUCAGAAGAGUGUUAUUAAAAAGUAUAUAUAUUGAAAAAUGAUUUUAUGGGGCAGUGUAAAUAGGCAAUUUUAUUAUCGAUUAUUCUUUUAACUAGAUUUUGAUACACAAAAAUAUCUUCAGUGAUAUAAUAUUUAUAAACUUAAAGUAUGCAUGAACUUGGCAAAAGUUUUAUUACUCAUAAAGAGAUAACAAACUAGAGAUUGGGAAGAAGCAAUACUUAGUAAUUAGUAUAUUUAAAAGUUGAGAAAUGUAUGUUUGAUAUUGAUUCUAAUUAACCGUCGUUCAUGAAUAUUCAUUUUAAAUCGUUUUACGUAUCGUCUGUAUUUUUAUCUACAGAUUACUUUUAUUAGAAUAAUCAUUAAUAUUUGUUAUCAAUUUCUAGAAAUGUAUGUUUGAGAUUGAUUCUAAUUAACCGUCGUACAUGAAUAUUCAUUUUAAAUCGUUUUACGUAUCGUCUGUAUUUUUAUCUACAGAUUACUUUUAUUAGAAUAAUCAUUAAAGAUUUUUAUCAAUUUCUAGAAAUAAAAAAUUUAUGAGGUAUAUAAUUUACAAUUUUUAUAACGAAAAUUGUGUUCUUAAAGUCGAUGGCAAUUUUAUUUACUGUACCUAUAUUAAUCUUUUUUAACUAAAUAUCAAUUUUUAAUUAAUUUAUUAAUAACGAAUUUUAUUAUAAAUAACACUGGAACGUUAAGGGUUAAACGCGUCCACAGUUUCUCGCUUUGGCCUAAAUUGUACUGUACAUAAUUUCGUUUUGUCACGAAUAAUUGGCACCAGGAUUAUAAAAAUCGAUCGUGAACGCACCGAACACAAGAAUUCUCUCAAAAAAAAACGAGACUUUCUGCUUUCGUGCACGUUUGAUCAGAAAGGAAAUUGCAUGUAACCUUUGCGAUAUCAUAAAAUCUUAUUAAUCGAGUAAAUUAUUAAUGUUGAGUAAAUCUGCUAAUCAAAAAGGAGGGCUCGAUAUUUAGACUUUUACAACGUGGAUGAUCUUUACUCUGCAGCAAGUAAAAAUUCUAUUUGCCACUCGAAACUCACAUUUUCACUCGCUUUCCAGCUAUUGUAAUUUAAAAAUCAAGUCUAAAAUUAUUUUAUCGCAAUUGUCUACUGUAUUUAAAUAUAUAUGUAUUUAUUGAUUUGUUAUGGGGAUUCCUGUGAUGUAUUCUGUAUAUGAAGAUCAUAGGAGACAAACAUAAUAAGUACAUUUUUGUUGAUCCUCUGACUUUCAUAUCAUUUUACGAUUAAACAACAAUGUAAUUAAAUAACUUGUUAGGUUUAAAAAUAAUAUUAAUUAUCAAGACAUGCAAUGUUUUAAUAUCAUGAUGAGGAAAAUUUUAAAGAGCAUGAAAAUACACAUGUGUAGCUUCACAAUCAAAUAAAAGAGAUAGUUCUGUUAACAUGAAAGCGAUUGACAUUGUACUGAAUUUUAAAACUGUUUCCUCGUAACAAAUGUUUCUCUCCUGUACUCCUCAUAUAAGAUUUCAAUACAUAUACAUAGUAAUUUAUAUUUACGAAACUUUUGUAAUUUUUGCUACGAUUUCUAAAUUUUGUUAUUUUAUAAUAUAUAAGGAAUACUUGAAUAAAUCAGUCUUUGAAUUCGGUUUUUAAACAUUUUUAACAUUGUGAUUUUUUCAUAGAUCGCUUUUUAAGGAAUACUUUUAAGGAGGAAAUUUUUCGAUUAAAUUUUUCUAAUCUUUGAGGAAUAUUUGUAUUGUGAGAAUGAUGGAUCCCCUGUAGCAAUUCGGUAUUUUCCAGCAAAUCACGAACAAGUCAGUAUGUUGUGUCGCUUUUACACAAUUCACGAGAAGGGAAAACGUUUCUGUAAGAGACGAAAAAUCAUUCCGUAGAAGUCUAUACUUAAUUUUAAACAAAUCAUAGAAAUACGCUAAGGCAAUGCUUAAUGGCACAAGCUCAAUAAUUUAUUACUAAGAAAGGCUUAGUUUCUCGUCUUUUCAGAUAUUUCGCCAGAGAAAUCGAAACAUGUUUCUUUCGUCUAUUAAAAAUAAGGAGAGUAAAUAGGAAUAAUUUCGAUACUGCCUGAUAUUCGAAACCGAGUGGAUUAAACCAUAUAAAUGGCUAAAGAGAAGUGUCCAUUAGAAAAUAUCCAAAAUUCUCUCACGUCGCUUUUGCGAAUAUAGGUGUGCGAUUAUCUGAAAAUCAAUUUUUACGCAGAGUACUGCAUUUUCUUAAUUUUAAGCUUGUUCUAACAACUAAUGAAAGAGAAUAACGAUAUCAAAUGAUAGGAGAAAAAUAAUGAUUAGUUGUAUUUAACUGGAAAAUCGUGAAAAUCCAAAAAAAAAAAAAAAUUAUAUAAAUUAAUACGAUUUAGCUACAGCUCUUUUAUUAAAAAAAUGUAGAAUUGUGAUAUAUGUAUAUGUACGUGUGUACUUUAGUAUUUGUUAUUUUAAACAAUUGACCAGUAAAUGCAUUUAAAAAAAAAAUAGUUUGAUCUGUUGCUUUUAUCGAAAAGAGAAAUUAUUUAUUUAUUCGAUUUUUUAAUCGGAUUUUUUAGCGCUUUUCAAAAAUACUGAUCGAGUUUAACACGAAGCAAUCUCUUGUACACUCUCGAGUAUUUUCUUGAAAAAAAAAAAAAGUUUGGUACAGAGAAUUGUUUUAUUUAUACUUAUAAACGAUUGCUAUAUUUAUGUAGCAGUUAUUUGUACAGUUUUCACAUAAAUACUUCUGUUUAUUAUGAAUCAUAUAACUUAUUUGCGUUCAAUAAAACUAUCUUAAAUAAUGCCGCUAUAGUAAUCAGUAUUUAUUAUGAUGGCAAAUAUUUUCCCAGGUAUCGUUUGAUUUUUAAACAUUGUCUAUUUAUUGCCUUUAUACUAAAACUAUGUACAGUCAUUAUUAGUCUGUUAUAUUUUUUAAAAGCUCUUAUUAUUAGAAAUCACUUGUGCAAUUUUUAAAAUGAUUCUUUUGUAAAUCGUGAUUGUACUGGUUUUAAUAAAAAUUAAUCUCUAUUUUAUAUAUUUACAAUACAUAUUGUAUACUUUCAAUUUGAGGUUUAGAAAGAAUUCUUUGACCAUAUUUUUUAAUAAUUAUUCUUAGUUAAAUUUUAAUAACAAUCUCAGUCAUAACUCUUCUAACAAUAAUAAUAAUAAUAUAAAUAAUUAUAUAAAUAUAAAUUUACCGGGAAAUAUAUCGGCUAUCAUCGAUCAGUAUUCGUAGAUAUUUAUCGAUCAGUAUCAAUAUUGGAUUAACUUUCACCAUCGAUAGCGCCAACUUCAGUCGAGAAAGAAAAUAGUACUAAAGGACGUACAGAACUUAUUUCUUAUCGUUAUCGAAAGUAUGCGAGUGACUAAUAUAUGUCUUACUAACAUUAUUCAUCCUUUUCUACACGUUUGUACUUUAAGAAACUAUCGUGAAACUCUUCAGAUAUUAUAUUCAUUCAACGUUUUACACAAUGCAACGAGUCUCUGUCUGAAUAUACCUCGAUAUCUUGUUACGGAUCAUUUCGAAGUAACUAUAUAUGAACUGUACGUAUUCUGCGCAUUUAAACUGUAUUUCUAGAACGAGCGUUCGUUAACGAAUCAUUUGUUAGUGAUUUUCCUGUUGUAUACAAGGUUUUUGGACAGAUAACGCGCACACUACGAACAACGAUAUGAAUUUGUCACGAACAUUGUGGGGAAUAUUAUAACAUCAGGAGUAAAUAAAUUUUUAUUCACUUUUAA